GUCCAAAGUAUUAAGCAAGUCUGUAUGUUUGUAAUACAGAGUUGUCAGUACUAGAAAGUCACAUGUGGCAUCUAAGAAGAAGGUGAUCCUUUGCAUAGAUUGACAGGGACUAGGUGAUCUUUAAUUUAGUAGAAAGAAGUUCCUUUCCUCUCUUGAGAUCUAUUUUGUUGAGAAAACCAAACAGGAGAACUUUUGGGAAAGGAUGCUUUGCAGAAUUAGACCAGUGAGAAGGGCCCCAGAGGACACCACAAUGCUCAGGAGAAGACUCGGGGCAGAAGGAAAGCUGCAGAGACUCAGGCUCUGCUUUCACAGUCUGGGCUUGACUCUUCCUUUGGAAAAGAACAAGAGUCUGGAGAACUGUGGGCAGACCCCUCCCCGAGCUUGUGUUCCAGUCUGGGCCUGGCUAUCUGCCUUCCAAGGGGGUCUGUGAUUGGCUGCUUAAUAUCCGUGUCUAGCUUCUUAUUUUAUAAUGGCUUGUGAUAAAUAACUGGGUGAAUGUCUCUACAUCACCUAUGAAACUACCUGGUUUUAUGGGAAGCACUCCAUAAACAGUCACUCUUCCUUGACUGCUGUUAACAAAGCAGAUUAAGUAUCAAAUUUAAAGCCCUCCUCCCUCCUCUCUCUCCUUUUGUGUCACACCACCUGAGUCUUAAAACUCGGAGCCCAAGGCUUUUGUGGCCUAGAGGACAGGCUAGAGAUGACAAGAAUCCAUUUCCAAAAACUACUUUGAUGAUGGUUUGUUGACUCUACUCCAGGAAUAGACUCUUCAGUGAUAGCCUGCCCCACGCUAUUUCACUCCUGGCUCCACAGUAACGCCUCCGAUAGAUGCCAAUAGAC